UAAUUUGGUUAAAUGUUUUCAACAUUUUUUAUUUAUUUAUGAUUGGACAACUACUAGACCAAUGUUUAGUUAGUACAUCCAAUGUUAUAAGUACAAAAUAAUAUGUGUUGGAUCUACUAACUAAACAUUGGUGUAGUAGUUGUCCGACUCUAUUGUUGGGAGCGAGAAGAUUGAUCCCUGGUUUAAUUG